UGGGGAAUAUUGCACAAUGGGCGAAAGCCUGAUGCAGCAACGCCGCGUGAGGGACGACGGCCUUCGGGUUGUAAACCUCUUUUAGCAAGGAAGAAGCGAAAGUGACGGUACUUGCAGAAAAAGCGCCGGCUAACUACGUGCCAGCAGCCGCGGUAAUACGUAGGGCGCAAGCGUUAUCCGGAAUUAUUGGGCGUAAAGAGCUCGUAGGCGGUUUGUCGCGUCUGCUGUGAAAACCCGAGGCUCAACCUCGGGCCUGCAGUGGGUACGGGCAGACUAGAGUGCGGUAGGGGAGAUUGGAACUCCUGGUGUAGCGGUGGAAUGCGCAGAUAUCAGGAGGAACACCGAUGGCGAAGGCAGUUCUCUGGGCCGUAACUGACGCUGAGGAGCGAAAGCGUGGGGAGCGAACAGGAUUAGAUACCCUGGUAGUCCACGCCGUAAACGUUGGGCGCUAGAUGUGGGGACCAUUCCACGGUUUCCGUGCUCGCAGCUAACGCAUUAAGCGCCCCGCCUGGGGAGUACGGCCGCAAGGCUAAAACUCAAAGGAAUUGACGGGGUCAUAGCUGUUUCCU
rnacentral:rRNA from 1 species